rnacentral:rRNA from 1 species
AGAGUUUGAUUCUGGCUCAGGAUGAACGCUAGCUACAGGCUUAACACAUGCAAGUCGAGGGGCAGCAUGGUCUUAGCUUGCUAAGGCCGAUGGCGACCGGCGCACGGGUGAGUAACGCGUAUCCAACCUGCCUUACACUCUUGGACAGCCUUCUGAAAGGGAGAUUAAUACAAGAUGUUAUCAUGAGUAAGCAUUUUCACAUGAUUAAAGGUUUACCGGUGUAAGAUGGGGAUGCGUUCCAUUAGAUAGUAGGCGGGGUAACGGCCCACCUAGUCUUCGAUGGAUAGGGGUUCUGAGAGGAAGGUCCCCCACAUUGGAACUGAGACACGGUCCAAACUCCUACGGGAGGCAGCAGUGAGGAAUAUUGGUCAAUGGACGAGAGUCUGAACCAGCCAAGUAGCGUGAAGGAUGAAGGUUCUAUGGAUUGUAAACUUCUUUUAUACGGGAAUAAACGAAUCCACGCGUGGAUUUUUGCAUGUACCGUAUGAAUAAGGAUCGGCUAACUCCGUGCCAGCAGCCGCGGUAAUACGGAGGAUCCGAGCGUUAUCCGGAUUUAUUGGGUUUAAAGGGAGCGUAGAUGGGUUGUUAAGUCAGUUGUGAAAGUUUGCGGCUCAACCGUAAAAUUGCAAUUGAUACUGGCAGUCUUGAGUACAGUUGAGGUAGGCGGAAUUCGUGGUGUAGCGGUGAAAUGCUUAGAUAUCACGAAGAACUCCGAUUGCGAAGGCAGCUUACUAACCUGUAACUGACAUUGAUGCUCGAAAGUGUGGGUAUCAAACAGGAUUAGAUACCCUGGUAGUCCACACGGUAAACGAUGAA